UUGCAAAUAAUUCAAUAAACUUGC
rnacentral:siRNA from 1 species